GGGAAAAAAAAANUCGGCUNACUCCGUGCCAGCAGCCGCSGUWAGACGGGGGAUGCAAGCGUUAUUCGGAAUUAUUGGGCGUAAAGCGUCUGUAGGUGGUAAGGAAAGUGUAAUGUUAAAGAUCAGGGCUCAACCCUGGGAAAGCAUUGCAAACUAUCUUACUUGAGUUCGGUAGGGGCAGAGAGAAUUCCCAGUGUAGCGGUGAAAUGCGUAGAUAUUGGGAGGAAGACCGGUGGCGAAGGCGUUCUGCUGGGCCGUAACUGACACUCAGAGACGAAAGCUAAGGUAGCAAAUAGGAUUAGAUACCCUAGUAGUCUUAGCUGUAAACGAUGCACACUAUGUUUUGCAAUUUGCAGAGCAAUAGCUAACGCGUUAAGUGUGCCGCCUGGGGAGUACAUCCGCAAGGAUGAAACUCAAAGGAAUUGACGGGGACCCGCACAAGCGGUGGAGCAUGUGGUUUAAUUCGAUGCAACGCGAAGAACCUUACCAAGAAUUGACAUGCUGCGAACGUUUACGAAAGUAAAAAGUCUAUUAACUUAGUUAAUAGCGCAGACACAGGUGGUGCAUGGUUGUCGUCAGCUCGUGCCGUGAGGUGUUAGGUUAAGUCCUGCAACGAGCGCAACCCUUGUCUUUAGUUAUAUUCUAGAGAGACUGCCGGUGAUAAACCGGAGGAAGGUGAGGAUGACGUCAAAUCAGCAUGCCCCUUACAUCUUGGGCGACUCACGUGCUACAAUGGUCGGGACAAAAGAGAUGCUACCCCUGCGAAGGCAAAGCUAACCUCAAAAACCCGAUCUCAGUUCGGAUUGCAGGCUGCACUCCNCCCCCNAAAAA
rnacentral:rRNA from 1 species